rnacentral:rRNA from 1 species
GAGUUUGAUCCUGGCUCAGGAUGAACGCUAGCGGGAGGCUUAACACAUGCAAGUCGAGCGGCAGCACGGACUUCGGUCUGGUGGCGAGCGGCGCACGGGUGCGUAACGCGUAUGCAACCUGCCUUAUACAGGGGGAUAGCCCAUGGAAACGUGGAUUAAUACCCCAUAACAUUAUGAAUUCGCAUGGAUUUAUAAUUAAAAUUCCGAUGGUAUAAGAUGGGCAUGCGUCUGAUUAGCUAGUUGGUGAGGUAACGGCUCACCAAGGCGACGAUCAGUAGGGGUUCUGAGAGGAUUAUCCCCCACACUGGUACUGAGACACGGACCAGACUCCUACGGGAGGCAGCAGUGAGGAAUAUUGGUCAAUGGGCGCGAGCCUGAACCAGCCAUCCCGCGUGCAGGAUGACGGCCCUAUGGGUUGUAAACUGCUUUUCUACGCCAAGAAACGGCCCUACGUGUAGGGCACUGACGGUAGCGUAGGAAUAAGCAUCGGCUAACUCCGUGCCAGCAGCCGCGGUAC